GACAGAGGUCUCAAGCGUUAGGCGGAAUCACUGGGCUUAAAGCGUGUGUAGGCGGAUGCCUAAGUACCUUGUGAAAUCCCACGGCUCAACCGUGGAACUGCUGGGUAUACUGGGCGUCUUGGGCCAUUCAGGGGCGACUGGAACAAGCGGUGGAGCGGUGAAAUGCGUAGAUAUCGCUUGGAACGCCGAAGGUGAAAACAGGUCGCUGGGGAUGUGCCGACGCUGAGACACGAAAGCCAGGGGAGCAAACGGG
rnacentral:rRNA from 1 species